CUCCCAAAGUGCUGGGAUUACAGGCGUGAGCCACCGCGCCCGGCCAGAUUAAGCUAUUUUCAAAGUUUGGAAUGUUGUUCCUGCUUCCCAGUAGGACAGAAGCUUGGGAGCAAAAUUAGAUUUGCCCAUUCUGGAUGUUUCAUAUAAGUGGAAUCAUAAAUUAGUAGUUCUUUCCGACUGGCUUCUCUCACUGAGCAUGUUUCCAAGGUUCACCCGGGUUGCGGUAUGUGAUCUUCUUUUCAUCUUUGGUGUUCUGCAAUUUGGAUACAAUGUCUUGUCGACUCCUGCCUCACAGCUGGGGAAGAAUGUUCUGGAUAUCAACACUUCCAGUGGGGGUCUUCUGGAGAGCCCACCAGAGGUCAUUUCUCAGCCUUCCCAGUGAUGGAGUGAGCAUGCCGUUCCCACUGCUCCAUACCUUUCUCCUGAAUCACUGCAGUGGUGUCUGUUUUGUGCAACAAACCCUUACUGGACGGGGGCCCUCACCCCCUGCCAUGAUCCUGUGAGCAGCAUUUUGUUUUUCCUCUAAGUCCCAGAGGCCCUGACCCUGAUGAAUGUCUGGAGGGGUGGGGCUCACACUUCCCCUCAGGGUUUCUCCACCCCUAGGGUUUCCCAUUCUUGCUCCCACCCACUGAGGGAGCACUAUGCGGGAGUCAGGGAGCUCCUCUUUCGCCCCUUUUGGAGCCUGGUCAUGCUGCUUGAUCACGGUCAUUUCCUUAGAGAUCUGAACCAGGGCGGGCAUGAUGCGGAUGGGGAAGCAUUACUGUCACAACCCCAUCCCCAGUCUGACAGCUCCUCCUAACCAGCAGGGCUCCUCACUGGCCUUUUUCACAAGCAUGGGUCUUUUCCAGCAGUCUUUAGCUCUGGUUACCGGCAGAAGCCCAUCUCUGUCUGCAGUCUUGGACACUGCACCUGGGACAGGUGUCUGUUACCCAGAGCUGCUGUAGCCACCAACAGGUGAGAGAUUGGCAUGUUCCGUAGCUUAACCAUCCAGUAGUUGAGAUUGUCCCCUCUGCCUCCACCCAUGGAGGUCGAUGAUGGCUGGGGGUGCCUGCUUGGACACCAAUAAAAAGGGCAGGCAGCACGGCCCCUGCCUCCUGGCAGCGUAAUCCUGGAUUAGGAAGCUGCUGCAUGGCUGCAGAGCCACUUCAUUCCUGGGGCGAGUUCCCAGCACGCCCGAUAAAGCCCCAUUAAAUCUCCCAGGUGGGGGCCCUUGAGGGUUGAUAGGCAGUCAUUCUUGGCUUUUGAAUUCCUGCCAGUUGAAAUACUUCCCAUAGCAACUGACUCUCAAAAUGCCUUCCAUGGUGAGGAUGGGUUGGAGUUUGGAGAAGAAAUUUCCCCACUGCUCUGUGCCCUGGAGGCUUGCAGAUCCGCAGCAAGGGGCACCAUGAGAGUGGAUGGCCAGUGAUCCUGGGGCUGGGUUUCUGGGUUCUGACCACUGAGCUCUAGAAACUAAAUAGCCACCAGGCCUAGGAAUUCUAAGCUUUGCUGGUCUGAAUUCUCCAUCCACCACACCUACUCCAAUGCCUUUUUCUCAGCGACUCCCUCCCUGUUUGAAUGGCCGUUUCCAACAGUGGCCCCUGUCCCUCAGUCCUGCCAUCUUUUCCCCAAAACACGCAUUGCCAUAGUUUUAUCUAUCUGAUUUAUUGGCCUGUGAGAACAAGGGUUUUGUCUGUCUCAGCUCCUGCUGUGUCUUUAGCCCUUGGGACAGUGCUCAGCACACAGUAGGUCCUCAGUAAAUACCCAGUGAAUGGAAAAAUGAACGACAACUGAAUGCUGGUCUUUGCACACACAUGGCUGCGCUUCUGUGCACACACCCUGCCUAUCUCCAGCCAGACAAGUGUGCAAAGUUGUCCCCCACUCCCCUGGUGCCACGGACACCUCUCCAAGGUGGCACGAGCUGUCUCCACAGCCAUUCCCAGGGCUUUGCAAGACCCGAAAAUUGGGUACAAUGGACAAUUUUUCACCUCCCAGGGUAGAACUUCUGUGCUUUAAAGAAUCAGAGGCCUCCCCACCCCUCUGUGGGGCCAUGACUGUGGUCACCAACCCUGCUGUGCCCACAGAGCUUUGAGUGCAGGCUUCACAGGACCUCCCCACGCAGAAGCCACCGUGGGCUUCAGGUUAGGAGGUGACAAGGCUGUCAGGGCCGUGAUUGCAAAGCUGUCUCCAUCACAUCCCCUGCUGCUCCUUGCAGGAAGACACAGAGUCCAUUUCCCAUCCCAUGAAAUCGGGCUGCUUCCAUGACCCACUUUGGCCCAUAAAGUGUGGCAGAAGUUCUGGUAGUCAGCCCCAAGGCGGUGCCACUCUGUCUGGAAUCAGGAGAACAGGCCGGGAGCCGCUGGGGCUGAGUCUGGAAUGUCCUCAGUGUUCCACUUCCCUGUCCGCUCAGAGUGCAUCCAAAGGCCAAGGACCUGGAGACCUUCCCACACUUGCGGCUGCCGCUAGGACCGGCCUUGGAGUGCACAGUACUGCCUUGGCUUGGCUGCCCAGGAUCUGAACUCCCUCUCGACCCCGGGCGGCUCUGCCUGCCGAGGCUCAAUCUUCCCUUGCAAGGUUGGGCAGGUCCAGGCUCCCUUCCCAGCCUCCUUUGCAGCAGCACACCACAGCGUGGAGGAUCUGGUCAGGGUCAGCCCCACCAGUGGCAGCCUGCUCGAGGUGAGCGGUGGCUAUGCAAAGGCGCACCCACAGCUCCAUGGCAGCACCAGGGGACUCCGCACCAGCCUGGGCUGGGGUGUGGUUUUUGGCUGUGGUCCUGGCUGUGGCUUUUCCUGCUUUGUCCCCAUUUCCUCCAGGCCUCCUGAAGAGCCUCUGAGCUAGCCCUAUCAGUGCAUAGAGUCUCCAAGGUUUGCAACUAAGACCCCUGAUGGUGUCAAGGUCCCUGCGUGGGCCAGGCCCUGGAGUCAGAUUGACCAGGUGCUUGGCCAGACAGCACUUCUCUCUGGGUCACCCAGGACACCCAUUCUCUGCAGUUGGAUAAGACAGGGUCAGGAAAUAGGAGAGGACCUGUGUACACUCCCAGAUGGCAAAUAAUGUGCCCACAUGUGUCCCCGUGGGGCAGCAUAAUGGCCCCUGUCUGCAGACUCUCCCCUCCCACUCAAGAGUCUUGAACCCAGGACUUGGUUUCUCUGAACCUAAGCACAUUAUCCCCAAACUCUGCCACUUCAGUCCUGCUGGCACCCCAGGCACUCUCCCCACACCUGCCUGGGGCUCCCCAGAGCUCCUGAAACAUCCCAGCAAACAAAAAUGUCCUCCUGGGCAAAGAUGCUGGCUUUUCCUCCUCCACUUGCCCACCCCCAAUACAUAGUCCUUGCAUCUCCUGCAGGCAGCCCAGUGGGUGCCAAGCCCCUGGUGGACCACAGCACAUGGGAUUUGUGCCGUCACUAGUGCAUGUCCUGAUUCCUCAGAUUUCUCAGGCUCUGUUGUGCUGGGGUGCACGCUGGGAGGCUUAUGUGUAUUACACUGCUCCUCGUGUCUCCCUUUUGUACACUUACGUACCAGUGAUGGGUCGGUCCUUCCAAGACACCGUCUAAGAGCCCAGGGGCCCUGCCACUCACCAGGGCCCACUCCAUUGUCAUAAGCCUGAGUCCCAGGUGGGUCUUCAUUUGGGACUUCUCCCACUCCUUCAGUGUUGGGCCUUCAUGAGUGCUAAGUUAUCUACACACAGUUCCCUGGCACCAUCCUUGGUGUGCAUGCCCAGGAGGCCCAGCAGAGAUGUUCUCAUGGCCCGUGUAGUGACUUUGCCGUGCAACUUUGGCCAAAAACUGUUCCCUAGCCACAGAGCAACUGUGUCAGCCAGAGUUCCCAGCUGCAGGCAAACAGAAACGAGCUCUGAUUUGAAGGGAAUGAAAUCUAUUGAAAGGUUAUAGGGGACCUCACAGAGCCUCCAGGAGUCCAUGCAGCCAAAGUUGUGCUGCAAGGCUGGGCUGAGGCACAUGUGGCUGCUGCCUUGUGCAUUUGCCAGUGUCGCAUGCUUUUGGCCUUCCUGCAGUCCCCGCUGCAACUACAGCAGCCUCUGAUGCCCUCACAGUGGCCCUUGCUUGUGUCACCAGCUUCCUGGUCAAAUUUGGGGCUGAGGGUCUGAUGGUGGAGCCUAGGUCCUGCUCUCCAGCCCCGGGCACCACUGGGAGCUUGUUAAUGCCCAAAUCUGAGGCCUCAAUGAGGCUUAGGGAGAACCUGCAUUUUAACUAGAUUCCCAUUGUACUAAUUAUCUUUUCCUGCAUAACAAUUAUUGCAAAACUCAGUGGCUUAAGACAACAAACGCUGAUGAUCUCACACUGCUCCUGAGGGCCAGCAAGUGGCUGGGCUGAUGGCUCUGCUUCACUGUCUCAUUAGGCUGCAGCCACCUGCAGGUUUGACUGGGGCUGGUGGGUCUGCUCCCAACGUGACUUGCUCACUGCUGGUGUUGGCAGAAGGCUGUGGCUCCUCAUUGUGGGGACUCUCCAUGGGACUGCUUGAGUGUCCUUGCAAUAUGGCGGCUGGCUUCCCUGGAGCGAGUGACCCAAGAGAAAGCCAUGUUGUGGCCUAACCUUGCAAAUCACAUGUGUCACUACACAGGUUGGCCCCACUCAGCCUGGGAGGGACUGUGAGGUGGAGAAGGUGAGGACCUGGGCUUUUGUGGGGCUCUGCUCAUAGAAAGAGUAUUCACCUUGCAGGACAGCCAAAAACAAUGACUAGGAUUAUUCUCUUGUCCUUUUUCUAACCUACUGAGUUGGAUGUUUAAUUCAAUUAUUUGCAUUGCUUCUUGUUUAUUAAUAUAAACGUUUAAGGCUAUGAAUUUUCCUCUGAGGAACAAUAGCUCCAAUAGUGUUUUUAUUAUUUCUGAAUAUGUCAAUUUGGAAUUUUAUUUCUUCUUUGAUCCAAGUUUUGCUUAAGAGAGCUUUAAAAUUUCCAAGCAAAGGGCCUUUAUAUUAGUUAUAUCUGGUUUUAUUGCAUUGUGAAUAGAGACUUUUUUCUGUAUUUUUUUAAACAAAAUAAAAUGUAUAUGGCUU
rnacentral:lncRNA from 10 species